rnacentral:tRNA from 1 species
GCAGUAGUAGCUCAGUGUUAGAGCGCCGGUCUUGUAAGCCGGCUGCCGGAGGUUAAACCCCUCCCUGCUGCU